rnacentral:rRNA from 1 species
AUUGAACGCUGGCGGCAGGCUUAACACAUGCAAGUCGAGCGGGGUGAUGGUGCUUGCACUAUCACUUAGCGGCGGACGGGUGAGUAAGGCUUAGGAAUCUGCCUAUUAGUGGGGGACAACAUCUCGAAAGGGAUGCUAAUACCGCAUACGUCCUACGGGAGAAAGCAGGGGAUCACUUGUGACCUUGCGCUAAUAGAUGAGCCUAAGUCGGAUUAGCUAGUUGGUGGGGUAAAGGCCUACCAAGGCGACGAUCUGGAGCGGGUCUGAGAGGAUGAUCCGCCACACUGGGACUGAGACACGGCCCAGACUCCUACGGGAGGCAGCAGUGGGGAAUAUUGGAUAAUGGGGGGAACCCUGAUCCAGCCAUGCCGCGUGUGUGAAGAAGGCCUUAUGGUUGUAAAGCACUUUAAGCGAGGAGGAGGCUCUUUUGGUUAAUACCCAAGAUGAGUGGACGUUACUCGCAGAAUAAGCACCGGCUAACUCUGUGCCAGCAGCCGCGGUAA